GGGAGCAGGGAGGGAAAUUGGUGCCAGGGACAAGGGAAAGAGAGGGGAACAGACCAGGGGAAUCAGGUUGGGAGAGAAGAGAGAGGAGGGAGCUCCUCUCAAGCUUCUGGCGACUCCUACCCCUGGCGCAGCCCUCUCAAAGGUGUUGCCUUGCAACCCGCCUUGAGCGCCUAGGCGUUGAGGCGCCCCCCAGCCUUGGGACACCUGGCCGCCUUUAAAACCAUGGAUUGAAGAUUGUGAAUCCAAUCAUUUGGAAAAAGCAGCUGGUCUUCUUAGCCCCGUUGGCUCUGAUUUUAAGCUCUCCAAAGGUGGCUUUGAGAGUGUAUAUAAUCUAUGUUGAUGUAUUAAGCCUUCCAUCUUCACCGAGGGAAGCAAUGGCUCUAUGGGACAAAACGAAGGAGUUAUUGAGGACAUGGAUCCUCUCCAUUCUUAUCUUAACCCUCUUUGUAACUUUAACAAUUUUCUUAUUUUAUUUGAUCUAUAUGUAUGUACAGAAUUUUGAUUAAGAUCCCUGUAUUUGAUCAAUUUAUGGAGUUAUUGAGCUAUAUAUUUAUCUAUGUUUUUUCCUCAUGAAGUUCUUGAUGAAUUUCUUACAGGAGGUGUAUUGGAUUUAUAGAUAGAAACACAAUUUGAAGCAGGAGGCUGCAAUGGAACUUUUUACCAUGUUUGUUAGGUAAAUCUUGGGGCGAGCAGUGGAUGGCUGAUGGCGUGGAUGGCCACGAUGGAGUACUUGGUCAGCGGAUUACAUGGAGUGGAGUCGAUGAAGGGAGCUGUAGCAGAUCAAGGAGAAGAGUUAGAGAGAUAGGUUAAGAGGAAGAAAUUGUACCGUUAACGCAAAUUGUGAUGGGAUAGACGGUGUCAGCCAAUAAAUUGUUUACGCGGGGCAAACAUUUGCAAUAGUUUCUCGUUCCGUGGUAGCAGUGGUAUCAGUUAAGAGGCUCAAAAUCUCGAACCAAACUUUUUCUAUUUGGCCACUCACAAUAAGCAUAAACAUUC